rnacentral:tRNA from 1 species
GGCAGUGUGACCUAGUGAAUAGGGCACUGGACUGGAAUUCAGAAGACCUUGGUUCUAUUCCCAGCUCUGCCA